AAUACUUAGGAAUCUACCUAUUAAUGGGGGACAACAUUUCGAAAGGAAUGCUAAUACCGCAUACGCCCUACGGGGGAAAGCAGGGGCUCUUCGGACCUUGCGUUAAUAGAUGAGCCUAAGUCGGAUUAGCUAGUUGGUGGGGUAAAGGCCUACCAAGGCGACGAUCUGUAGCGGGUCUGAGAGGAUGAUCCGCCACACUGGGACUGAGACACGGCCCAGACUCCUACGGGAGGCAGCAGUGGGGAAUAUUGGACAAUGGGGGGAACCCUGAUCCAGCCAUGCCGCGUGUGUGAAGAAGGCCUUUUGGUUGUAAAGCACUUUAAGCGAGGAGGAGGCUACUCUAGUUAAUACCUAGAGCUAGUGGACGUUACUCGCAGAAUAAGCACCGGCUAACUCUGUGCCAGCAGCCGCGGUAAUACAGAGGGUGCGAGCGUUAAUCGGAUUUACUGGGCGUAAAGCGUGCGUAGGUGGCCAAUUAAGUCAAAUGUGAAAUCCCCGAGCUUAACUUGGGAAUUGCAUUCGAUACUGGCUGGCUAGAGUAUGGGAGAGGAUGGUAGAAUUCCAGGUGUAGCGGUGAAAUGCGUAGAGAUCUGGAGG
rnacentral:rRNA from 1 species